GCCAGUGUGGUGUAGAGGUUUGAGCAUUGGAUUAUGACCCUGGAGACCAGGGUUCGAAUCCCUGCUCAGCCA